AUUGAACGCUGGCGGCAUGCUUUACACAUGCAAGUCGGACGGCAGCAUAGAAGAGCUUGCUCUUUUGAUGGCGAGUGGCGAACGGGUGAGUAAUGCAUCGGAACGUACCGAGUAGUGGGGGAUAACUGUCCGAAAGGAUGGCUAAUACCGCAUAUUCUCUGAGGAGGAAAGCAGGGGACCUUAGGGCCUUGCGCUAUUUGAGCGGCCGAUGUCUGAUUAGCUAGUUGGUGGGGGAAGAGCCCACCAAGGCGACGAUCAGUAGCGGGUCUGAGAGGAUGAUCCGCCACACUGGGACUGAGACACGGCCCAGACUCCUACGGGAGGCAGCAGUGGGGAAUUUUGGACAAUGGGCGCAAGCCUGAUCCAGCCAUGCCGCGUGUAUGAAGAAGGCCUUCGGGUUGUAAAGUACUUUUGUCAGGGAAGAAAAGCCUGGGGAUAACACCCUCAGGUCAUGACGGUACCUGAAGAAUAAGCACCGGCUAACUACGUGCCAGCAGCCGCGGUAAUACGUAGGGUGCGAGCGUUAAUCGGAAUUACUGGGCGUAAAGCGAGCGCAGACGGUUAUUUAAGCAAGAUGUGAAAGCCCCGGGCUCAACCUGGGAACUGCGUUUUGAACUGGGUAACUAGAGUGUGUCAGAGGGGGGUAGAAUUCCACGUGUAGCAGUGAAAUGCGUAGAGAUGUGGAGGAAUACCGAUGGCGAAGGCAGCCCCCUGGGAUAACACUGACGUUCAUGCUCGAAAGCGUGGGUAGCAAACAGG
rnacentral:rRNA from 1 species